rnacentral:rRNA from 1 species
UAGGGAAUAUUGCGCAAUGGACGAAAGUCUGACGCAGCGACGCCGCGUGAGUGAUGAAGGCCUUAGGGUCGUAAAGCUCUGUUGAAUGGGAAGAAAAAAUGACGGUACCAUUCGAGGAAGGACCGGCUAACUUCGUGCCAGCAGCCGCGGUAAUACGAGGGGUCCUAGCGUUGUUCGGAAUCAUUGGGCGUAAAGGGUGUGUAGGUGGCUAAGUAAGUCAGGUGUGAAAGCCCCGGGCUCAACCCGGGAAGUGCAUCUGAUACUGCGUAGCUUGAGUACCGAAGAGGAUAGUGGAAUUCCAGGUGUAGUGGUGAAAUACGUAGAUAUCUGGAGGAACACCGGUGGCGAAGGCGGCUAUCUGGUCGAGUACUGACACUGAGACACGAAAGCAUGGGGAUCAAACAGGAUUAGAUACCCCCGUAGUCCCUGAGCGGGCUGGCAAGGCG